CAUUUUUCUUAAAUCAUCUCCCCACCUGAUUGGAGGUCUUUUGAGUGGUCUCUUCCACUCACACAGGUGCCACUCAACAACAGCAUAGGUCUACCAAUCGUCUGUGAACCUUGCAACAUGACUGGCCCAUUGUAGCUUUGCAUGGUGGUAUUCUGCAACAAUCUUGAGAACCACAAUAUUCUACAAGCAACCAAACACCUUCUACCAAUUCUACACCAGUCCCCAUGUCUCCGACAAAUAAUCAAGGAACAAUAAAUAAUCAACAGCCAAAGGCAACCACCUAAUCUU